UACGGAGGGGGCUAGCGUUGUUCGGAAUUACUGGGCGUAAAGCGCACGUAGGCGGCUUUGUAAGUUAGAGGUGAAAGCCCAGGGCUUAACCCUGGAAUUGCCUUUAAGACUGCAUCGCUAGAAUCGUGGAGAGGUGAGUGGAAUUCCGAGUGUAGAGGUGAAAUUCGUAGAUAUUGGGAAGAACACCGGUGGCGAAGGCGGCUCACUGGCCCGUUUCUGACGCUCAGGCGCGACAGCGUGGGGAUCAAACAGG
rnacentral:rRNA from 1 species